rnacentral:rRNA from 1 species
UGGGGAAUCUUGCACAAUGGGGGAAACCCUGAUGCAGCGACGCCGCGUGAGCGAUGAAGGUUUUCGAAUCGUAAAGCUCUGUCCUAUGGGAAGAUAAUGACGGUACCAUAGGAGGAAGCCCCGGCUAACUACGUGCCAGCAGCCGCGGUAAUACGUAGGGGGCGAGCGUUGUCCGGAAUUACUGGGCGUAAAGGGUUCGCAGGCGGCGUGACAAGUCUGAUGUAAAAGGCGAAAGCUCAACUUUCGUAAGCAUCGGAAACUGUCAAGCUUGAGUGAAGGAGAGGCAAGUGGAAUUCCUAGUGUAGCGGUGGAAUGCGUAGAUAUUAGGAGGAAUACCGGUGGCGAAGGCGACUUGCUGGACUUCAACUGACGCUGAGGAACGAAAGCGUGGGUAGCAAACAGG